ACCGUGUUCUCUGAACUGUUUUUAAGUCUCUCUCUCUCUCCUUCCUUUUUGCAGGCUCUCAACUCUCAAGGCCAUUACAAAGAUUCCUGGAGCACCUGUUUUAAAGCUUCUUAUUUUACUCUCCAGUUUGACCUUUGGUUAUUAAAAAAGGCGAAGGAAGAUCUGAAAAUGUUGAGUGCUUUUUUCUUUUUCUUUUUUUUUUUUUUAAAUCUCUGUUAGAGCAUUGAACGAAGGCUCAGAGAUGAUACCGGUUCUCUCUCCUCUGUGACUUUUGGGAAAGAAGAUCGAAGACCCAUUUUUCAUUGGAAGUUCUUUGUAGAUCAAGAACUUUGCUUUGGCUUUGGUGGAUUUACCGGCAUUCUUAAGAUGAGAGGGAAAGUUGUCUUUUUGAAAUUGGAUUUCGAUAGGUGAAUGUAUCUGGUAGGAUUGAUUUAAUAUUUCUUGGUCACUAGAUUGUUGCGAAAAAGCUAUAUUAAAUAACGUGCAAAGAAGCAAGAAGCAGACAUUGCAUACUUGGAUGAUCAUGUUUAAGAUGUGUGUUGAUAAAGAAAACGAGGUUGUGAUAAAUUUGGUUGUUCUCUUGUCGUGAUUCUUUAUUGAUCAAGGAGUACAUCAGGUUAGUGUCGAUGGCAUCAAUUAGAAGAACACUAUCUCCAGUGCCUCGGCAGGGGACUCUAGUUACUGGGGAGGCUGAACGUUCAGUUCCUUCUCCUUUGUCCAAGUCUUCAUCAUGUAAUCAGAACUACCCACCUUCCGGCGGAUUGCUAUCUUCUCUUUUUGGUUUAGCGGAUUCUCAAUCUUUGGUUCUUCGUGUUUUCUCUCCGAGAUCCUCUAGGCCUCUUGACAGGUCAAAACAGAAAGGACAAGUUUGGAGGAGGGCUCUUUGUCAUUUCUUCAUUUGUUUCAUAGUUGGUUUUUUUAUUGGAUUGACACCAUUCAUUUCCAUGGACUUUUCUUAUAUGAAUCCCAUUUCAAAACACCAGGCAUUCUCCUUUGAGGUAGUAUCAACUGCUGGGAAUUUUCAAACGCUUAACAGUUCAGCAAGAAAUGUAACUUCAAUAAUGGACAAAGCGGAGGUUGAAAGUAAUGUCACACUGGAGGCAUUAGUGCAGAAACAGAAAGUGAUAGAAGGGAAUUUAGAUAAUGCCUUCACUAAUCAGUCACUUCCUCAAGAUAUAGAUCUGGAAUCUCGUAAGCUUUUAAUAGUUGUGACUCCAACAUAUGGUCGACCACUUCAAGCCUACUAUCUAAAUCGUUUGGCAUACACAUUAAGGCUGGUCCAACCUCCUCUAUUGUGGGUAGUUGUGGAGAUGACCUCCCAGUCUGAGGAAGCAGCUGACAUCCUAAGAAGGAGCAGUGUUAUGUACAGGCAUCUUGUUUGCAAGAAAAAUCUGACUGAUAUAAAAGACAGAAAUGUUCACCAAAGAAAUGUGGCACUGUCUCACAUUGAAACUCAUCAUCUUGAUGGAAUUGUCUACUUUGCCAAUGAGGAUAACAUCUACUCGAUCGAUCUCUUUGAGCAAAUGAGGCAUAUUAGGCGGUUUGGGACAUGGACUGUGGCCAAACAAACGUGGGACAAAAGUAGUGCUAUAUUGGAGGGCCCUGUUUGUAAUGGAACUCAAGUCAUUGGAUGGCACCUAAAUGGAUUAAGUAGGAGAUUCCGAAGAUUCCAUGCUGAAAUGUCAGGGUUUGCCUUCAACAGUACCAUACUCUGGGACCCAAAGCGAUGGCACCGACCAACUCUUGAACCAGUUAGACAACUCGACACAGUCAAAGAUGGCUUUCAAGCAAGCUUGUUUAUUGAACAAGUUGUGGAAGAUGAAAGCCAGAUGGAAGGCUUGCUGCAGGACUGCUCAAGAGUCAUGGUUUGGGAGCUUAAUGCUGAAUCAUCUAAUUCCUUCUACCCCCAAAAAUGGUCAAUGAAGAAUAAUUUAGAUAUUAUUGCUCCACUUGCAUGAAAUUCUGGAUGUGGAAGGAGUUAAUUUUGAUUUUCAAGGAAAGAUGGCUGAGAAUCGCAUAUCAUUUCAGCGAAUUGAGACUCAUAACUAGGCUGAUACCGACACCAAAUGGCCAAGCAUACAACUCGUUGAUGUACUUACCUCCUAGCUGAAAUGGCAGGGUAUUUUGCAGACAGCUUUGAACUCAGCAGCAAAUGCCAUCUCAGGGUGGCAGAGACCACUAAGAUUAUCCUAAACUGCAGAGUACCAACUUAGACAUGGACAACAAAUGACUGUAUUAGACUAUAAUGAUGCCCUAUUAUGAAAGGACUUUUGAGUAUAUUUUAAGUUGGCUUGUCUACUAUGAGGGGUUUGUUCUAUGCUAUUGUUACAAAUAAGUUUCUCUAAGCUUUCUCGAAUAAGAGAACAUCUGCUAGAAAAAGCAAAGGUAUUUAUAGUUA